UUAGAGUUUGAUCCUGGCUCAGGAUGAACGCUAGCGGCAGGCCUAAUACAUGCAAGUCGAGGGGUAUAUUACUUUCGGGUAAUAGAGACCGGCGAACGGGUGCGUAACGCGUAUGCAACUUACCUUUUACUGGGGGAUAGCCCGGGGAAACUCGGAUUAAUACCCCAUGGUAUUGUUUGAGGGCAUCUGAAGACAAUUAAAGAUUUAUUGGUAAAAGAUGGGCAUGCGUAAGAUUAGCUAGUUGGUGUGGUAAUGGCACACCAAGGCGACGAUCUUUAGGGGGUCUGAGAGGAUGAUCCCCCACACUGGUACUGAGAUACGGACCAGACUCCUACGGGAGGCAGCAGUAGGGAAUAUUGGUCAAUGGACGAGAGUCUGAACCAGCCAUGCCGCGUGCAGGAAGACGGCCUUCUGGGUUGUAAACUGCUUUUAUACGGGAAGAAAAGGCCCAUGCGUGGGACAUUGCCGGUACCGUACGAAUAAGCACCGGCUAACUCCGUGCCAGCAGCCGCGGUAAUACGGAGGGUGCAAGCGUUGUCCGGAUUUAUUGGGUUUAAAGGGUACGUAGGCGGCUUUUUAAGUCAGUGGUGAAAUCCCGCAGCUUAACUGUGGAACUGCCAUUGAUACUGGAAAGCUUGAGUAUUGUUAAGGUAGGCGGAAUUGAUGGUGUAGCGGUGAAAUGCAUAGAUACCAUCAGGAACACCGAUUGCGAAGGCAGCUUACUGGGCAAUAACUGACGCUAAGGUACGAAAGCGUGGGGAGCGAACAGGAUUAGAUACCCUGGUAGUCCACGCUGUAAACGAUGAUCACUCGCUGUUGGCGAU
rnacentral:rRNA from 1 species